rnacentral:lncRNA from 1 species
UGGGCGGGAAAGGACGGACGGGUUAAGUAGCCAAUCACCAAUUGCGCUCCAGCCAGAGGGGCGAUGUUCUUGGGGAGCCUGGGGAUCUGGAAGAAGUUCAGUGUGAGGACGAGUGUUAGGAAAUAAGGCUGAAGACAGAGGCAACCCUGGAGGAUCUUCUAACCCAUGUCAAGCAGUUGAGAAUUUAUGGAGUGAAAUAGCAAGCCAUUGAAGAGUUUCAAGGUGCUCCCAAUGCAAUCACAAAGAUCUUUAAAAGUGGAAGAAGGUGGGAGAGGUCAGAGUGAUACGAAGAGAACUCAGUCUACCACUGCUGGCUUUGAAGAUGGAAGAAUGGGGCUAUGAGCCCUGGAUUGCGGGCAGCCUGCAGAAGCUGGGGCAGAGAUUCCACACAGGCACCUCUAGAAAAUAAUGCAGCCAGCCAAUCCUUAGACUUUAUCCCAGUGAGAGUCAAGUUGGACUUCUGACCUACAAAAGAGUAAAUAUCUAAAUUAUCUGUGGCAACAACUUGGUGGGGUCAACUCGAAUGUUUUUGUCG